UACGUAGGGAGCAAGCCGUUGUCCGGAAUCAUUGGGCGUAAAGCGCGCGUAGGUGGCUUCGUAAGUCCGUUGUGAAAGUCAAAGGCUCAACCUUUGAAAGCCGAUGGAUACUGCGGAGCUAGAGUACGGAAGAGGCGAGUGGAAUUCCUGGUGUAGCGGUGGAAUGCGCAGGAUAUCAGGAGGAACACCAAUAGCGAAGGCAGCUCGC
rnacentral:rRNA from 1 species